ACUCAAAGGAAUAGACGGGGGCCCGCACAAGCAGUGGAGUAUGUGGUUUAAUUCGAAGCAACGCGAAGAACCUUACCAGGGCUUGACAUGGAGACGAUCGGCGCAGAGAUGCGUCUUCCUUUCGGGGCGUCUCACACAGGUGGUGCAUGGUUGUCGUCAGCUCGUGUCGUGAGAUGUUGGGUUAAGUCCCGCAACGAGCGCAACCCUUACGGUUAGUUGCUACGCGAGAGCACUCUAGCCGGACUGCCGUUGACAAAACGGAGGAAGGCGGGGACGACGUCAAAUCAUCAUGCCCCUUAUGUCCUGGGCUACACACGUACUACAAUGGCGGUCAUACAACGGGUUGCUAUCCCGCGAGGGUGAGCUAAUCCCCAAAAGCCGCCUCAGUUCAGAUUGCAGGCUGCAACUCGCCUGCAUGAAGUCGGAAUUGCUAGUAAUCGCGGAUCAGCAUGCCGCGGUGAAUACGUUCCCGGGCCUUGCACACACCGCCCGU
rnacentral:rRNA from 1 species